GACGAAACGCUGGCGGCGUGGAUUAGGCAUGCAAGUCGGACGGUAGGGCUUUAUCGUAAGAUAGAGUUUGAGAGUGGCGAACGGGUGAGUAACACGUAGGAAUCUACCCUUAAGACGGGGGACAACCCAGGGAAACUUGGGCUAAUACCGGAUGAGAGCGCGAGAGAUUGCAUUUAAAAGGAUGGCGAAAGUUGUCGCUUAGGGAUGAGCCUGCGGUCUAUUAGUUAGUUGGUGAGGUAAGAGCUCACCAAGGCGAUGAUAGAUAGGCGGCCUUAACGGGUGGUCGCCCACACUGGGAUUGAGAUACGGCCCAGACUCCUACGGGAGGCAGCAGUCGAGAAUAGUCUACAAUGGCCGGAAGGCUGAUAGUGCGACGCCGCGUGAACGAGGGGAGCCCUUCGGGGUGGUAAAGUUCUUUUCUUAUACGAGCAGUGCUAUAUAUAUGGAUAGUAUAUAUAGAGGGAGUAGUAGUAUAGGAAUAAGACAACGGCUAACUCCCGUGCCAGCAGCCGAC
rnacentral:rRNA from 1 species